rnacentral:siRNA from 1 species
UGACGGUCCAAACGGUUGCGU